rnacentral:tmRNA from 1 species
GGGGUAGACCGGAAUUGACAGCUUGAGCAGAUUCCGUGUAAGCAUGUCGGGAGUUGAAUGAAUCUCCUGUUAAAAAGUCAUUCGAACAAUAAUCGGCGAGUCUAACUACGCUAUGGCUGCUUAAUCUAGGUAUUAACGCAUAAGCCAUUGUCCCGCAAGAGUACCGUUUUACUACGCUUGCAUCAGGGGCAUCGAAAGGUAGAACUAGUUUAGGUGAAGCUGCGGCGCCUAAGCGAAACCAAAGCAGAUAAGGUAAGUCCAUAGGUUUGAUCCAGCCUGGGCUUAUUCGAAAACCAAUUGGAAGCUAAGCAUGUAGAAAGCGCGAGGGUUUCCUUGUCUGGACCAGGGUUCGAAUCCCUGCUACUCCACCA